rnacentral:rRNA from 1 species
GCUGGCGGCAUGCCUUACACAUGCAAGUCGAACGGCAGCACGGGAGCAAUCCUGGUGGCGAGUGGCGGAACGGGUGAGUAAUAUAUCGGAACGUGCCAGUCGUGGGGGAUAACGUAGCGAAAGCUACGCUAAUACCGCAUACGAUCUAUGGGAUGAAAGCGGGGGGAUCGCAAGACCUCGCGCGAUUGGAGCGGCCGAUAUCAGAUUAGGUAGUUGGUGAGGUAAAGGCUCACCAAGCCGACGAUCUGUAGCUGGUCUGAGAGGACGACCAGCCACACUGGGACUGAGACACGGCCCAGACUCCUACGGGAGGCAGCAGUGGGGAAUUUUGGACAAUGGGCGCAAGCCUGAUCCAGCAAUGCCGCGUGCAGGAUGAAGGCCUUCGGGUUGUAAACUGCUUUUGUACGGAACGAAACGGUGAGCUCUAAUACAGUUUGCUAAUGACGGUACCGUAAGAAUAAGCACCGGCUAACUACGUG